GGUUGUGAUCAUACCAGUAGUAUUGCACAGGAUCCCAUUAGAACUCCGUAGUUAAGCGUGCUUGCGGGAUAGUAGUACUAUGAUGGGAGACCUUCCGGGAAGUCCUCGUGUUGCACCUC
rnacentral:rRNA from 1 species